AGCUUUAUAGUCAAUGAUGAUAUUAGACUGCAAUUCUAAAGGUGUAAGUGAUCUUACUAAGGCUU
rnacentral:tRNA from 1 species